CGGCACUUCCGGGUUGGCCUUCUCCAUGUUGGUCUCGGGAACGUGAAGGGGCGGGGCCUCGAGGUCAGGGGUCAGCGCCUCCCUGGUUGCCGUGGCGACUGGAGCACGCGACGCGGGCGCGAUGGCGGGGACUCUAGGCCCGGGACUUGAUGCUGCUUGGGCCUGGCCCAGUGGCGGGUCCUGGGGACGUGGCAGAGGCCGGCAGACUAGAGUUUUCAUCUCAUGGAAAAUUCAGAAUCAGAAUCAAAAACAGCUGAGGUAGUUACUCGGGUGCCUUCCUUCAGCUUAUUCAAAAGAACAUAGGAUGAACGGUAAGAAUUCAGUAAACCACAAAUUAUUUUGGAGUAUCUGGUUUAUAUUAUAAAUAAAUUUUUCACUGCUG
rnacentral:lncRNA from 1 species